rnacentral:lncRNA from 12 species
GGAGCGUGCAAGGCCUUCUUUUUGCAAUUCUCCUUCCUCUUGCAGGUUCAUGCUGGUAGGAGUUGACGUGACAAGUGCAUGGGGGUGGAGGGGAGGGGGCGCUACACCUUCUACGGAAGCUGAAUGGGUUUGUCUAACAACCCUUGGAGUUCACUGCCACGGGGAAGACGGACGGCUCCAUGUUCCGGUGCAGAAUUCCAGCCAUUUCUGAGUCUGAGACAGUGCGCAGUGCCCAGUUCGAUUCCUACACACCUCCCCCAGGCCGGCCUGGUCCUCACCCUUCCUCCCUGAAGCCCCUCUACCUGUAUGCAUGGUGCUUUCACACCCCAGCAAACUGGAAGCCCCUGGGAGGCACCCGAGUCCCAGCCGGGGGUGUGCCGUGAGUGUUGAACUCACUGACGGACGGACCUUUGGAUCCAGGUAGGCACUUCGGUGCUCGGCCUCGCCGGACGCC